rnacentral:lncRNA from 1 species
AUUUGAUGUGCCCUGGGGUGCUUUGAAGAACAGAUGUUGGAUUCAAAUUUUAAUCCAAAUCCAAAGAACAUAUACAAGAUCUGCCAUGCAUACCUGGAUGAGGCUGGCUGUUCUGGAUUUACCGUCUGUACCAGAUCUGAGACUGGUCAGCACACUGCCUGCAAAAAAUCAAAGCCUUGAUGUUCCAGGUUCUGGAUUGGUCUGGAACAAUAUUGAAUGCAUGAAGGUCAACAUAAUUUGAAGUGCUGAGAAACUAUGGAGUAAAAUCUAUCUUACUUCACCUGACAGCUGUUGAGAGACAUGGUAUGCUGGAUGGAAUAUAGCCUGACUGCAUAUUAGUUCCUGUUACUGCAAUUCUGAAUUGAAAAGAUAAGGUAAAUAAGAUACUAGAUUUCUCAACAACAAACUUUAUAUAAUGUUACACAUUUUGAUAUAUUUUCCAUCCAUUCAUAUAAGGUUUUUUUCUGUUGUUGUUG